rnacentral:rRNA from 1 species
GAUCAUGGCUCAGGAUGAACGCUGGCGGCGUGCUUAACACAUUCAAGUCGAACGGACGACUCGGAGCUUGCUCCGGGAAGUUAGUGGCGGACGGGUGAGUAACGCGUGAGCAACCUGCCUGUGUGAGCGGAAUAACGUCCGGAAACAGACGCUAAUACCGCAUGACUCACGGACUUCGCAUGGAGACCGUGGCAAAGAUUUAUCGCACACAGAUGGGCUCGCGUCCGAUUAGG